ensembl:lncRNA
GCCUGACAUAGCUGUGUGUUCUCUAUGAAAAUAUCAACAGCCAUCUGACAAUCUGAAAAUGAAAAUCUCUCCCCACUAACUGGAGCUAAUUGGACUUGAGCACUCUUCACUGUGGUCACGAUAUGUCUCAUGGAUUUGUUUUGCUCGGUGCAGGUGGCUGAACUGGACCUGGACUGGCACUGAUGGUCAAACUGAAGCCCCUCCACAGUGUCUGGGCCAAUCCUGGAGGGGCGCGGGGCUGAUGUCCCACGGGGCAACAGGGUAUAUGUGUUCUGGAGAUCUGAAGAGACACUCUACAUCCCGAUAAAUGGAGGAGAAGGAGCGAUGUAGGAGCAGGUCUCCAGCCCGGAGCACCAGCCGCGUGCAGCAGGUGGUGGGGACCAUAAUACGACGCACCCGAGAGUCACUCAGCAGGGAGCGGUUGCUAGGAGAUGGGAGGUCACAGCGAUCCAACAGUCUGUCCAAUCAGAACUUCCAGGCCAAACUCCAGCUGCAGAUCACCAGAGAUGCGGUCUUGGACAGCAGCACUGGCCAUGGCUUCACCCUCACCACAGAGCCCCCCCUGCUGGUCAGGGACAUCUCCCCAGGGAGUCCGGCAGAUGGGAUCCUCUACCCAGGGGACCAGGUACUGCAGAUCAAUGACAAAGUGCUGGA